UGCAGCGUGUAAAUAUUUUCUUUAAUUUUUUUUAUGAGCUGUGUGUAGAAGAAGAUAGGUAGGCAUAGACCGGCGCUGCUAGCGAUGAAUCUGGUCGUGUUCCAUUAAUUUGUUCGUGUUUCAUCGAGAAGUUUCAUCUGGGGUGGGUUCAUCUGGUGGAGGUGGAAUGGGCGCUUAUUUUCCCCCCAAAGAAGCUUAGCUUGUUUUGAAUUUUGAAUUCUAGGUCAUUUUCCCUCCUAAUUGGAUUUCUUCUGAUUCAGUUGCCUAUAAAUUGAGUAUGGGGGAGAGUUGCGAUGCACAUAUCGAGUUCAACAGGGUGUAGUUAGGGUUUGACGGUAUGGUGUAUAACGAUAAGCUGAAGGAGGAUGGUAAGUUCGAUGAUGUUGCUGAAAUUGGUCGUAUUAAGGUUAGGGUGCAUGCUUCGUCUGUGGAAAGUACCUGCUUUUCUUAAUCCAAUUGAAUCCAAUUCGCUUGAGAUGGUUUUGGGCGAUGAGAAGGGUGGAAAAAUUCAUGCCACUGUUAGGAAGUUUCCUACCUUCCUCAAUCCAUGUGAGUCCAGAUCUCUUGAGAUGGUUUUAGUUGAUGAGAAGGUCGGUGUUUUUUUACCACUUUUGGCGGUGCCAAAAUAGAAGGUGUAUGAAGUAGCAGCCAAGCGGCCAAGCCUGUGGUGAAAGCUGCCAUGGAAGGUGUCAAUGGUAUGAAAUGAUUAUCUUGAAAAAGGGAAGGUUGAUAUCAAGUUCGAUGAAAAUCUUCGUAUCAAGGUUAGCUCUCUUGAGAUGGUUUUGGUUGAUGAGAAGGGGGGAAAAUACAUGCUACAAUUAGGAAGCAACUUAUUUAUAUGUUUGAAUCGAAGCUUGAAGAGGGAAAAAUCUAUGAGAUUGGCAUUAACGAGC